AAGCAUAUCAAUAAGCGGAGGAAAAGGAACCAACAGGGAUUGCCUUAGUAACGGCGAGUGAAGCGGCAACAGCUCAAAUUUGAAAUCUGGCUCCUUCGGGGUCCGAGUUGUAAUUUGCAGAGGAUGCUUCGAGUUAUGGUUCCUUCCGAGUUCCCUGGAACGGGACGCCAUAGAGGGUGAGAGCCCCGUCUGGUAGGAAACCAUGCUCAUGUGAAGCUCCCUCGACGAGUCGAGUAGUUUGGGAAUGCUGCUCUAAGGGGAGGUAUACUCCUUCCAAGGCUAAAUACCGGCUAGAGACCGAUAGCGCACAAGUAGAGUGAUCGAAAGAUGAAAAGUACUUUGAAAAGAGAGUCAAACAGCACGUGAAAUUGUUAAAAGGGAAGCGCUCGCUACCAGACGUGGGUUCGGUGGUUCAACCAGGUCCAUGACCUGGGGCACUCCGCCGGCCCAGGCCAGCAUCAGCUUUCCGUCGGGGGCAAAGGCGUCGGGAAUGUGGCUCUCCUUCGGGGGAGUGUUAUAGCCCGUCGCGUCAUACCCUUCGGGGGGCUGAGGUACGCGCUCCGCAAGGAUGCUGGCGUAAUGGUAGCUAGUGACCCGUCUUGAAACACGGACCAAGGAGUCAACCUUAUGUGCGAGUGCCCGGGCGUAAAACCCCAGCGCGGAAUGAAAGUGAACGUAGGUGAGAGCUUCGGCGCAUCACCGACCGAUCCUGAUGUCCUCGGACGGAUUUGAGUGAGAGCAUAUAGGGUUGGACCCGAAAGAAGAUGAACUAUGCGUGUGUAGGGUGAAGCCAGAGGAAACUCUGGUGGAGGCUCGCAGCGGUUCUGACGUGCAAAUCGAUCGUCAAACAUGCGCAUGGGGGCGAAAGACUAAUCGAAUCUUCUGGUAGCUGGUUUCCGCCGAAG
rnacentral:rRNA from 1 species